GAAUCUGGGUACAAUUGAAUACAACAGUUUCUCUACUGAAGUACUUCCAAUAAAGUUGUCAUGUGUAACAUAUGGCUUCAAUCGCUGUCAACAUGUUUAUGAAUUCUACUUUCUAAAGUUCUCAUAGAGAACUUUGAUUUUUAUAAACUUAACAAAGUAGCAAAAAUCGUCACCUACAAUUGGGAUAAAAUGAUUGGUAUUAAUUUUUAUUCUCUGCCAGAGGUGAAAUUGUUAUGUGAUACACACAGGUCUAUCGGUAUUAUUGUACAAGGAUUAGCAGAUGCAUUGAUUUCAAUGAGAUACUCAUUUGAAAGUAACAAAGCUAAGGAACUCAACGUCCACAUUUUUGAGACUUUAUUAUGGCGCUCUAGAAACAAGUUGCGAAAUGGUUACUGAAAAGGUCCUGAUGAGUCAUAUGAAGGCAAUCCAGUCAGUAAAUGUAAGCACUCUCCGAGAAUAAACAUUUUCAGAUACAAAGUGGUACGGAGUUCCGUCACGAUAUGAUUGAAGCCAUUUGUAACGCUAAACAACGUAAAAGAAAUACAAUCAAUAAAAAGGAAAAUAGAGGGAAACGUUAUAUCAGAGAAGAAGAAAUGCAAAGAAUUUUUAUGCAGCGUCAACAAAAGCAUUUGCGAAAAGAGUAAUAAUAUAGAAAAGUCAAGAGAAAUGAUAUAGAAAAAAGGA
rnacentral:lncRNA from 13 species